AUUUAUAUAGUUUAUUUACAACUUUACAUUUUCAAUGUAAAAAUAAAAUUUUAUAUUUUUAUAAAUA
rnacentral:tRNA from 1 species